rnacentral:rRNA from 1 species
GCUACACAUGCAGUCGAGCGGUAGCACAGAGAGCUUGCUCUCGGGUGACGAGCGGCGGACGGGUGAGUAAUGUCUGGGAAACUGCCUGAUGGAGGGGGAUAACUACUGGAAACGGUAGCUAAUACCGCAUAAUGUCGCAAGACCAAAGUGGGGGACCUUCGGGCCUCAUGCCAUCAGAUGUGCCCAGAUGGGAUUAGCUAGUAGGUGGGGUAACGGCUCACCUAGGCGACGAUCCCUAGCUGGUCUGAGAGGAUGACCAGCCACACUGGAACUGAGACACGGUCCAGACUCCUACGGGAGGCAGCAGUGGGGAAUAUUGCACAAUGGGCGCAAGCCUGAUGCAGCCAUGCCGCGUGUGUGAAGAAGGCCUUCGGGUUGUAAAGCACUUUCAGCGGGGAGGAAGGCGGUNAGGUUAAUAACCUUGUCGAUUGACGUUACCCGCAGAAGAAGCACCGGCUAACUCCGUGCCAGCAGCCGCGGUAAUACGGAGGGUGCAAGCGUUAAUCGGAAUUACUGGGCGUAAAGCGCACGCAGGCGGUCUGUCAAGUC